CUCAGAUAGCUAGGCUGAGAUUGGCAAAUUGCCUGGAACGUUAUCUGUAAAGGUGGCUCAGUUCCCAGGUUCAGCCCGCCUG